rnacentral:rRNA from 1 species
CUUGAAUAAAAGUAGUUAAGUUCUCCAUAACUCAAAGAAUUUGGCGGUUAAUAAUAAUUUUAGAGGAACCUGUAGAUUAAUUGAUAAACCACGAUAGUUAAUACCUUUUUUUAAUUUGUAUAUCGCUAUAAGUUAGGAAUGUUUUUUGAGAAUAAAUUUUCUUUUAGAUUUUUCUUUAAUAUUAGGUCAAGGUGCAGUUUUAAAUAGGUUUUUAUGGGUUAUUUAAGUUUUUAUUUAAAUAUAAAUUUUACUUCGUUGUGAGUAUAUUAUGUAGGAUUUGAGAGUAAUUUAAAUUAAUUAAUUUUUUUGAAUAUU